AACAUUUGGGUUCAAGUUAUCCAUUUUUACGCCUAAUUUUUCGGACCUAGCCCAAAACAAUCCGAGUCCACCACACGUGGGGGACACGAACGGAACACAAUGUCAUGGGGACACUCUUGGACCCCUCAAAUUAUUGCUACACACGUGAGCCCCAUUUUUGGGUCUUAUAUUUUUUUCAAAACAAGAAAAGGAUAUUACACUUGAGCUGGACAUUUUUUACUAGAUGAAAAAGACCAUAUGGUCAGUUUUUAAAAAGGGAAAAGAGAGAGUGGGUGGAAGACAAUAGAAAAGUUGAGCAUUAUUUGGGGACCAAAGAUACUACUAUUGGGUCUUCUUCCUUCAAAAAGAAAACGAGACACAUAAUAGAGAUAGACAAUUGGAGAGGAGAGAAGUCCUGAAGAUCUUUUGAGAGAGGGGAUUUGAAGCCAGUUCUUCUUUAAGCAUUUUAAGAGUUUGGGGAUCAGUUUUUUCGAAAGAUUUUAGAGCUUAAUUCCUCCACAAUUUGAAACCUUAAGAGUUUAGAGAGAGUAUUGAGAGCUAGAAAAUAGACUGACUUUUGGAAUCCUAAAAAAUCAGUAAGAGAGUAUUAGAGUUCUGGUCGGGUUUCAUAAUAUUCUGUUUAGGAGUUAUUUAAGCAUCCAAUUUUGAAGCUAAGUCGGAGAUUUUGAAAAGAAGAAAAAUAAAUGUAAAGAGGACACUUCUUCAUUAAUUUUCUGAUUGACUUUUGAUCAAUUCUCUUCUAUGUGAUUGCUGGAUGUUUCUCCUAAGAUCAAAGCUUCAACUUCCACGGAUUGGUGCUUUCCGGUUUGUUUAACUGUUUGUUCUGGAAAUCCCAGUUCAGUUUUGAACUCAUCUUGAGCUUAUUUGAGUGGUGUGUGUGUUUGAGUGGUCCAGCUUGAUUUUGUUUUAAAUUCUCCUGGUCUUGCUACUUUCGUUACUGGUUUGUUGUUGAUUGCUGAUUGAUGUUGCUGCUCGAUUAGUGUAUGAGCUGAUUCCAUCUUCUCCUUUUCUGUUCUGUACCCAGCUAUUUGUCUCAACAUUGAAUGACGUAUAAAUGUCAAGUUGAAUAAAGCCUAUUUGGAAGAGAGAUUGAAAUGCAAGAAGUACUGUUAUUGCCUUGGCUUCUAUGCAAUUCUAUCUUCUGAUCGUUUUGAAUGUCUAAGUUCUGUUAGAUAUGUAAUGGUAAUAUAGAGAUUUGAAUAACUAGGAUCUGUUAUAGUUUGUGUAACUUGGACUAGUUAAACUUGUAAUAUAUGAUGGACUGUACUGAAAUGAGGAACUAUUAGCAUAAGAAUCUUGGCAGUUGAGUAUUAGUUGGGAUUAAAUUGAAUCUAUUUUUAUUGGUUAAGUUUGAUCUCCAGUAUUACCAAAAACACUUUCAAUAUGUGAAUAGAUAGAAUAUAAGUUGUUGAAGUAAUGUGAUACUUUUCUCAAUAUGACAGUUUUAGAUAAAGUGAAUUAUUAUAAAAGUCUGAGUUCUCAAAUUCAGAAAGCUUAGAGUAAAGGUGUGGUUUAAAAGGCAUGAAUUAUUGAUUAAGUAUAUGCAAUCAGUAAGGUUAAUUUUAGGCAAUUCUUUUUAGGCUAGUAUCACUAGAUCUCGAUUUUGAAUUCUCAUCGUAACCUUGUUAAUAUUCAAUUCAAGCUUGUAAAUCAGCACUUUAAUAAAUUGAGUAAGAGUAAGGGAUUUGAAACUCGAAUUAGUAUGCAAUAUGUUUGUAAUUAUGGUUAUAGGUAGCUUAUAUAGGAUAAGGAAGUUGA
rnacentral:lncRNA from 1 species